CCUACGGGGUGCAGCAGUGGGGGAUAUUGCACAAUGGGGGGAACCCUGCUGCAGCGACGCCGCGUGGGUGAAGAAGCGCCUCGGCGCGUAAAGCCCUGUCAGCAGGGAAGAAAAUGACGGUACCUGACGAAGAAGCCCCGGCUAACUACGUGCCAGCAGCCGCGGUAAUACGUAGGGGGCAAGCGUUAUCCGGAUUUACUGGGUGUAAAGGGGGCGCAGACGGCGAUGCAAGUCAGGAGUGAAAGCCCGGGGCCCAACCCCGGGACUGCUCUUGGAACUGCGUGGCUGGAGUGCAGGAGGGGCAGGCGGAAUUCCUGGUGUAGCGGUGAAAUGCGUAGAUAUCAGGAGGAACAUCGGUGGCGAAGGCGGCCUGCUGGACUGCAACUGACGUUGAGGCCCGAAAGCGUGGGGAGCAAACAGGAUUAGAUACCCCUGUAGUC
rnacentral:rRNA from 1 species